UACGUAGGUGGCGAGCGUUGUCCGGAAUUACUGGGCGUAAAGGAUGCGUAGGUGGAUACUUAAGUGGGAUGUGAAAUCCCCGGGCUCAACCCGGGAACUGCAUUCCAAACUGGGUAUCUAGAGUGCAGGAGAGGAAAGCGGAAUUCCUAGUGUAGCGGUGAAAUGCGUAGAUAUUAGGAGGAACACCAGUGGCGAAGGCGGCUUUCUGGACUGUAACUGACACUGAGGCAUGAAAGCGUGGGUAGCAAACAGG
rnacentral:rRNA from 1 species